UACGUAGGGUGCGAGCGUUGUCCGGAAUUAUUGGGCGUAAAGAGCUCGUAGGCGGUGUGUCACGUCGGCCGUGAAAACCUGACAGCUUAACUGUGGGCGUGCGGUCGAUACGGGCAUCACUGGAGUUCGGCAGGGGAGGCUGGAAUUCCUGGUGUAGCGGUGAAAUGCGCAGAUAUCAGGAGGAACACCGGUGGCGAAGGCGGGUCUCUGGGCCGAUACUGACGCUGAGGAGCGAAAGCGUGGGGAGCAAACAGG
rnacentral:rRNA from 1 species